GCACUAUCAAGAGUGGCGGAGGGACCGGCCCGUUGAAGCCACGACAACCUACCGGCGGGAUGCCGGCAAGGUGCCAAUUCCGGGCAGGUUCUCCUGCGAGAUAGGGC
rnacentral:ncRNA from 2 species